UAUUAUGGAGAGUUUGAUCCUGGCUCAGGACGAACGCUGGCGGCAUGCCUAAUACAUGCAAGUCGAGCGAACUGUUGGAAG
rnacentral:rRNA from 1 species